UCUCUCGUGGCUCAGAUGGUAGAGAAUCUGCCUGCAAUGCAGGAGACUGGGGUUCAAACCCUGGGUCAGAA
rnacentral:tRNA from 1 species